GUGAAUCAUCGAAUCUUUGAACGCACAUUGCGCCCCUUGGUAUUCCGAGGGGCAUGCCUGUUCGAGCGUCAUUACAACCCUCAAGCACUGCUUGGUAUUGGGCUCCGCUGGUUUCAGCGGGCCUUAAAAUCAGUGGCGGCGCCGUCUGGGCUCUGAGCGUAGUAAAUAUCCUCGCUAUAGAGACCAGGUGGUUCUUGUCAUCAACCCCCAACUUUCUAAGUUUGACCUCGGAUCAGGUAGGGAUACCCGCUGAACUUAAGCAUAUCAAUAAGCGGAGGA
rnacentral:misc_RNA from 1 species